rnacentral:snoRNA from 14 species
AAUAAAAGAUGAGCUUGAAAAAAAAGACAAGCAUAUGUCUGAAUCUUUAAUGAAGAGAAACUUUUUCGUGUCUGAUAUU